rnacentral:lncRNA from 1 species
CAGAAAACUUAAGUUUAAAUAAAUCAAAAAGAAACCAAGUCUUCUAAACAUCUUUUAACAAUGAAAACUUCACCACAAAUUAUUUAUAAUCAUACCUGAGAUCCCAAGGGUCUUUGAUCACAAAAACUUCAAUUCUUUUCGUCAAUCUUCAUCUUCUAAUUCUUCGAGACUCCGUUCAAUACUUCACGAAAUUCGCCAACUUAUAAAAUCCUUAACACAACUAUCGAUAUCAAUGUCGACAGAGAGCACGAUGACGG